ACACACAGUUAUCACCUGGUGAAUUGAGCAAGCAUAUAGUUUCUCCAUAAUAAGCUUCCUCACUUUUAUUUUAUUUAAUCCCCCAGAAACCUGGGGCUUCCCAAAGGAGACUGUCUUUCCUUCACAGCAGGAAGAUCAACAUCCCUCACAAGCGGCACACAACAUCACACAGCUCCCAGUUCUUAACCUAAGCAAGUAGCCUGGAGUUUUUAUUAGAGAUGAUAAUUAAAUAACUUGAUCACUGGAGAGAGGCACUGCAGCCUGCGAUAAAUAGAUCCAGAUAAAGCCUUUCACAAACAAAUCACCAGAGAUGCAAAGAGCAGAGCAGUCACUUACCGCUUGGACAUCCCUGCCGCGGCUGGAGGGCUCUUCUGGGGGGAGGCAGGAUUGACGGAGUAGUGCUUUGUGCUGGGGACGCUGGCCUUGCAGCCACACAUCGUGAGGGCAGGCUGUUUGUGAUCUCUAAGCAACUGGAGUAACAGCAAACAGGUGGAUUCAGGCUCUGCCCCGUGCGAGCAGCCUGCCUGCAGCCGUGCCCCAUCAAUAAUGUAAGUGCUACCUGCUGGUCACGGGACCAGCAAGUACGUGGGUCUGAACGGCCCCUGUGACGUUGGCAGGUAGAGUUGCUCUUUAUUUUCUGUGAGAACUUAAUAGAAACAAACCAGACUCGGAUGGGGCCUGAAUCCCCUUACAUCUGUGGGAUGUAAUGUUGUACCAGGACUAACUCAGCCACCAAAGCAGCACCCAUUAUCAUUUUAAUCAGAAGCCUUCCUGGUGUGGGAUAAAGUAACUUGCCCCAGGCUAUGAAGAGAGCUGCUCCUUUAGGCAGAGUCGGAAACCAGGUGUCUCCCAAAUCCUGACCCAGCAUCAUCCUAGGACAGCAGCACAAAGAGCUCUGCUGGUGCCCCAGCUACUAGCACGGCAGCGCCCAGCACCACGCCUUGGCUUGGGUUUUUACCCGAGCAGACACUGCCUGCCUCCAAAAGCAGCACCGAGCCAUCUGGCAGAGCAGCCGCGAAGUGGAGGAACUGGAAGGGCUCUGAUGAACUUUGUUAUUUGUUGGCAUGGAUAUCGCUACCAGAAAACACACAGCUUGUCACGCUGCCCGUCUCUGGGCACGUUCUUGCCGCGCAUCCUUUGCCGAGGGGUGUCCAGACAGGGUGACAGUGAUCUAAAGGACUGAGCGGCUAUUUUCAUCCUGGGGGGGCUGUUAAAAGGUGGUGGCUUCAGCUACCUCAUCCAGCACAUCCUUCCUGGGGAAAGGAUACAAGGCGAUGUCAAGACUUCCCAGAAUGAGACUUUAUGUAACAGGACACGCAAAGGAGACUGCAACAGAUGGCCUAGAGAAUUAAAAUGUUUUCCUCGUUUAGUAGAAGCUAAAUUACUGAAGGCUAAUGAAUAAGGAUGUUCACCACCUUACUGUUCCUGGAUUUUAAUUAUCUUAAAAAGCAUGGGAAAAGAGAACCUUUAAUUUUCCAUCUAAGAGUGUCAUUACUCAAACAAUUCAGAGCCUUUUUCUGAGAGG